CGAUGAUGCCCAGCUUGCUGGGCGGAUUAGUGGCGAACGGGUGAGUAAUACGUGAGUAACCUGCCCUUGACUCUGGGAUAAGCCUGGGAAACUGGGUCUAAUACUGGAUACUACCUCUUACCGCAUGGUGGGUGGUGGAAAGGGUUUUACUGGUUUUGGAUGGGCUCACGGCCUAUCAGCUUGUUGGUGGGGUAAUGGCUCACCAAGGCGACGACGGGUAGCCGGCCUGAGAGGGUGACCGGCCACACUGGGACUGAGACACGGCCCAGACUCCUACGGGAGGCAGCAGUGGGGAAUAUUGCACAAUGGGCGGAAGCCUGAUGCAGCGACGCCGCGUGAGGGAUGACGGCCUUCGGGUUGUAAACCUCUUUCAGUAGGGAAGAAGCGAGAGUGACGGUACCUGCAGAAGAAGCGCCGGCUAACUACGUGCCAGCAGCCGCGGUAAUACGUAGGGCGCAAGCGUUGUCCGGAAUUAUUGGGCGUAAAGAGCUCGUAGGCGGUUUGUCGCGUCUGCUGUGAAAGCCCGGGGCUCAACCCCGGGUCUGCAGUGGGUACGGGCAGACUAGAGUGCAGUAGGGGAGACUGGAAUUCCUGGUGUAGCGGUGAAAUGCGCAGAUAUCAGGAGGAACACCGAUGGCGAAGGCAGGUCUCUGGGCUGUUACUGACGCUGAGGAGCGAAAGCAUGGGGAGCGAACAGGAUUAGAUACCCUGGUAGUCCAUGCCGUAAACGUUGGGCACUAGGUGUGGGGGACAUUCCACGUUUUCCGCGCCGUAGCUAACGCAUUAAGUGCCCCGCCUGGGGAGUACGGCCGCAAGGCUAAAACUCAAAGGAAUUGACGGGGGCCCGCACAAGCGGCGGAGCAUGCGGAUUAAUUCGAUGCAACGCGAAGAACCUUACCAAGGCUUGACAUUCACCGGACCGCCCCAGAGAUGGGGUUUCCCUUCGGGGCUGGUGGACAGGUGGUGCAUGGUUGUCGUCAGCUCGUGUCGUGAGAUGUUGGGUUAAGUCCCGCAACGAGCGCAACCCUCGUUCUAUGUUGCCAGCACGUGAUGGUGGGGACUCAUAGGAGACUGCCGGGGUCAACUCGGAGGAAGGUGGGGAUGACGUCAAAUCAUCAUGCCCCUUAUGUCUUGGGCUUCACGCAUGCUACAAUGGCCGGUACAAAGGGUUGCGAUACUGUGAGGUGGAGCUAAUCCCAAAAAGCCGGUCUCAGUUCGGAUUGAGGUCUGCAACUCGACCUCAUGAAGUCGGAGUCGCUAGUAAUCGCAGAUCAGCAACGCUGCGGUGAAUACGUUCCCGGGCCUUGUACACACCGCCCGUCAAGUCACGAAAGUUGGUAACACCCGAAGCCGGUGGCCUAACCCCUUGUGG
rnacentral:rRNA from 1 species